UGCAACUGACGCUGAGGCUAGAAAAGUGCGGGUAUCAAACAGGAUUAGAUACCCUGGUAGUCCGCACAGUAAACGAUGAAUACUCGCUGUCGGCGAUAUACAGUCGGCGGCCAAGCGAAAGCAUUAAGUAUUCCACCUGGGGAGUACGCCGGCAACGGUGAAACUCAAAGGAAUUGACGGGGGCCCGCACAAGCGGAGGAACAUGUGGUUUAAUUCGAUGAUACGCGAGGAACCUUACCCGGGCUUGAACUGCACCCGACGGACAAAGAGAUUUGUCUUCCGCAAGGCGGGUGUGGAGGUGCUGCAUGGUUGUCGUCAGCUCGUGCCGUGAGGUGUCGGCUUAAGUGCCAUAACGAGCGCAACCCUUCUCUUCAGUUGCCAUCAGGCAGAGCUGGGCACUCUGGAGACACUGCCAUCGUAAGAUGCGAGGAAGGUGGGGAUGACGUCAAAUCAGCACGGCCCUUACGUCCGGGGCUACACACGUGUUACAAUGGGAGGUACAGAAGGCCGCGACCCGGCGACGGGAAGCCAAUCCCCAAAUCCUCUCUCAGUUCGGACUGGAGUCUGCAACCCGACUCCACGAAGCUGGAUUCGCUAGUA
rnacentral:rRNA from 1 species